rnacentral:rRNA from 1 species
UCCUACGGGAGGCAGCAGUGAGGAAUAUUGGUCAAUGGUCGGGAGACUGAACCAGCCAAGCCGCGUGAGGGAUGAAGGUACAGAGUAUCGUAAACCUCUUUUGUCAGGGAACAAAGGCGGGGACGUGUCCCCGGCUGAGUGUACCUGAAGAAAAAGCAUCGGCUAACUCCGUGCCAGCAGCCGCGGUAAUACGGAGGAUGCGAGCGUUAUCCGGAUUUAUUGGGUUUAAAGGGUGCGCAGGCGGUCUGUUAAGUCAGCGGUCAAAGCCCGGGGCUCAACCCCGGCCCGCCGUUGAAACUGGCAGG